AAUACCCAUACAUACCUUUUCAUUUUUAUGUUUCUUAACUCCUUCACAGAGCACGAGAUCCCCUUCUUCCUAAGAUAAUAUCCCCUUCUUGUUCAUCCACAGAUAUGUCCUCAAAUCAUAAACUCCCUUCUUGUUCAUCGACAACUCGAUCUUAACAAGUUUUUUACAAGAUUUAUUAUUAUUUUCUUCCAUUAAUCAAAUUCAACAAAAACUCCAAGAACCCUAGAUUCAAAAUCCAAUUUGUUUCUCAAUAAUUAGAAAUCAAAGUUAGAAAUUGAAGACGAACCUCACUCUCACAUCAAAGAUCGAAACUCACUGUCUCAAAUUCGUAACCCCUAUCUCAAAAUCAAAACACAUGUAUCAAUAGAAAUCUAAAGAAAAAUUUGUACCCAUAGAUUAGUUUUCUGCUCCUGAAAUCAUCAGAAAGGUGUUUCCUUAUAUAUUUUUUGCCUGCAAAAUCAAGUCUUCAAGUGGGUUGAAGAUCUCUUCUCCUAGUGAAAGAAAUAAAAUCCCUAAAUUUGAAAUUGAAGCUUUUCUUAUUGCUAUUAUUAUUGUGAGAUAAGGAGAUUUUCGCUUGUGUUAACUUAAAUGAAAUGUUCGAUACUUAUUGGACCAUAUAAUGUGCAUCUCGAGUUAUCACGGACAGAGAAACUGGGAGGUCAAGGGGUUUUGGAUUUGUCAGCUACAUCUAUGAAGAAAAUGCUAGUCAAGCUCUUACUAUGGACGAUCAGGAUCUAGGUGGAAGACAAAUCCGUGUAAGCUAUGCUAAUGAGAGACCUCCCCGGAACUUUUAUGGGGGUGGUUAUAACAAUGGCGGAGGUGGAUAUGGGAACAAUGGUUGUGGUGGUUAUGGAGGUGGCGGAAGAAAUGACGGUUUCUAAACCUGUGUUCCUUUUGGCUCUGCAUGCUACAUAUCUUUGUUACAUGGAUGGGUUAACCACUACCGUGUUUCGGAGAUAAAUGGAUUUGUAUCCAAGGCGUCAGAUCGCAUUUGCUGCUAUUCCGCAACUCCCUGUUGUGUGUACUCAGUGUUGCAAUAAGUAUCAUACAAAUGAUUCAGUUUACAGGCUAAUGCGGUGCGUAUAUCCUCAAACGAUUUAUAUGGAGAGAAUCCUCAAACGAUUGGAUAAGUUGCAGCAUACAAGUGCAAAUCUACCAAAGGAAAAGGUGCUUUCCAGGAUUCGGAAUUAUCUACAACUUGUUGGGAGAAAGGUAGACGAGAUUGUUCAGCAGCACGAAUUUAGGAUGAUACCUUUUCAAACCUAUCUGGGGCUUCAACAGAUAGUUUCUAAACUUAAAGAGGAGCAGCAGUCUGAGGCAGGUCCAUCCUACCUAAAUGGAUCUGCACCAGAUCACUACCCAAACGAUUGAGAUAAUAGUUCCAUACAGUAUCGUUCGUGUGGCCAGAAUAUUCCAAACCCAAAAGGGUUCUAAAAGCAUCCGCCUCACGACGCUUCAUAAUCAUUUCAUCGAGACCAGGAAAGUGCGAAGUCAGAAGAGGAGACACAAGAAGUUGAAGGGGAAGAACAAAUGGUUGCAGCUUACAGCGUAACCGAUAAAGGGCUUGUACUAAUUCGUUUUAUUUAUUUUGCUGGAUUCAAAUAUCACACCAUGUCUUCCUUAAGUCAUUUAGACGUGUCUUUUCUUUUCUUUGUGAAGAUGGUGAACCCUUGAACUUAGUGCUACUAGUCACUAGCCUAUCUCUGAUUAUGCAUUGGCGGCAAAUAGUUGUUUGCAAGGAGUGGGGUAAGUUCUCUCGUAGGGAUGUAGUUUGUUGCUAGAACAGAGUAGUGUAUGAUUGAUUUGUUUCCAUUAUAACUAUAUCAUUAUAUAUCAUCGUGCCAACUAUAAAUAUAUCUAAUCUUAAUUUGAGAUGGAUCGCAUGAGUUAUUUGCAUUUUCAGUCAAGUUUGAGCAGCGGUGUACUAAUGUUUAUUUUUUUGAAAUUAACACGGUGACAUUCUUUGAUUGGUGGAGCUAUAACAGACAGAACAAUGGAUUUGGUGCAGCUGAAAACGCUACAUUCCUAUAGUUUUGAUUAUAAAACUUAGCAGUCUAAAAAAAAAAGUGAUCACUCAAAAAUUAUAAUGCAAAGCAUGUUAUAUGGAAUGAACCAGAAAGGGACAAGAGGAGUUGUAGACAUUGUUGAAGAAUAACUACAACUACAUCAGUCAAAGCUUGGUGCAAGACAAGCUAUAUAGAGUCAUGGUGGUUAGCUGCAAAGUGGAAAUUCACACCAUUAUCCAAUUUCACAAGUCUUUUGGGUACCUAUCUUUUGUUUUAAUUCUCUCGUAUUACUUGGUAUAGUUGGCACAGUCUUGCGGGUUAAAUGCUAAACUGUGUAUGAGUCUAUGAGAUAGAUUGUUGAAGUUUUUGGUUGUCAGGUUUGUCAAAGAGACUCAGGUUUAACAUUGUUCUUGGUAUUGAAAUUUUCACAUUUUAAACUUGGGUGAUUUGAAGUGGUUGAGUUUGUACAUUGAAUCUAUCUUUCAAUAUAAAUUUUUAUUUGGUUUCCUUUUUAA